GAGUUAACAAUGAUUAUAAAAAUAAUUCCUCAUCUUGACUUGCUUAAUUUGGGCAUGACAAACCCCUUAUUACAACCAUUGAAUCUGAGCUAC
rnacentral:snoRNA from 1 species